CCCACCCACCCACCCCAACCCGUAUCAGAUAGUUGGUAAUCUCGAGUUGGUAAUUGCUUAGUAAAAUAAUUACUUUUGGUGAAACCCGUCAUCAUACUCCCUCUGGCUACGAAUUUGCAUUCCUUGUUGGGAUGUGUAGUCUGAAACUAUUGUUUGGUAGUACUUGUAGUUCAUAGUAAAACAAUUAUACUCGGAGGAGAUGUGACUCAGACAGUAAUUGCUUGGUUCUGGUCAUUGGAAUACGUCAAGCGCUACAGGUUUGUUUCAAGAGUUUUGAACCUAAGGAUAUCUGACUCAAGACUGAAAUUGUUGAUAUUACUGAUUGUUAUUGUAAUUGUGGAGCCUAUAAGUGUGAUGCCCAUGAGUUUUAAUAAAUACUUUCCAAGGAAUUUAUAACAAAUGCAAUCUUAAAGCUUUGGGUGCUGUUCAAUUUCAGAAAUCGGUUUCCUAUGAAUGAAAUUGUUAGCAGUAUUGCGAUUAUUGGCCAAUAAUGGUUGGUUCUUUGUUUAAGGUUUUUGUAACUUUAUGGUCUCAUGAGUGAAAUCACGGACCAACUCCCUUUUGUGAAAUCAGUAGUGUUACAAAAGUCUUUUCUUCGUUGUUGGUUCUUAUGGAUAACAUUAGUGUUGUAAUGCCCUCAAAAUUACUUACCUUGCCCAAAUUUAUCUCGUCGAUACCUUCCUUCAUUAUUCGCUCAGAUUAAUUGACACCUUUCUUGUUUUCAAUGCAAUGUAUAAUUAUUGCAGAGUAGAUAAUGACAUGAUUUCGGCUAAGCUAUACCAGAUUUAGUUGUCACUAAAUUAUGCUUUCUUCUGUCUCAAAAUGGCAAAAGCUAAAGGGAAGGUACAGUUUAAAUAUCCAACCCGCUAAUGGGGACAAGUAAUAUUCUAUGCUCACUAUUUCGAGUUUCCUUUUCACUGAAAGCUGCAAGUCAAGUUCUUACCAGCUGCAGUGGUAUCGAUGUUAAUUACUUUUAAGUUCUAGGAGCUCACCAAAUGUUGUUUUCCAAGUCCGAGGCUGCAAUUGAUCAAAAAUAUUUGUCAGGUUUAUUUUUUUCAGUGCCAACAUAUAGCAGGAAAAUUAUUAUUCGGUUUUCAAUGGAACCGUUUCUUAGGGUAAGAUUUUUCUCUGUAGCUUUAUGUAGUCCUGUAAAUGUAAUUCUCAUGUAAAGUCUGUUGAGUUAACCGUUUAAGAUAGGUCUAACACAUGUGGCUUUCGUAAGCAUUACUAUCUUAAUCCUUUAGGAUGCAACUUUUGAUGAAUGGCCUUCUUUCAUGGAUUAGUUGAUAGGCAUUACUAUCACUAACACAUGUGGCUUAUGUAUGCAUUACUAUCUUAAAUCUUUAGAACUAUCCUUUACAGUCCAGGCUGAAGCUAGAUUCAAUUCUUUGGCUUAGAAUCAAACUUUCUUUACACCAAAAGCUCAUAACUGCUGUGUGUCAGAUAAAACUUGAUGAGACUUGCUUGUGAAACCUGAUUAUGUACAUCAAGCGUGAACUAUAUUUACACGUUAAGGAACUUUUGUGCAUUUAGCAGAGAGCAGGUCAUGAGCAAGGAAAAGUCCACACUGAACAAGCUCCAGUGGAACUUUACAGUUCUGACGGUGUAUAUGUUCAUCAUUUUUAGAAAAACAGGGACCCUUCCCCAGCUCCAUUUUAUUGAAAAUGAAACCAACCGACAGAGUUCAGUGCCAAAUUUAUAUGUUCAUCAUUCGAUACAUGAACGCUGCAAUGGGUGACAAGGAGCUGGAGAACAUGGCAUUCUUCUAUGAUGUGCUUACGCUGGUUCAGUACUCGACGUGAGUCCAUCGUGGAGUGAUACCAUGAAGCACCGCACGGGCUUAGCUGAGUUACAAUUGUUGUACAUAUUCUUCCUCUUUUUUUGCACAAAUGUACAUAUUCUUCAUGACUUAUUAAUCUUGCUCAGUGAGAGACCUGAUUAUUUGCAUCUGAGCUGAACCACACUCUAAAUUAUGAUGCUCACAUGCUACUUUGAUCAUGUCAUCUACUUUCUGAAAUCUUGUUAUUUACAUUAAACCCGAACCAAUCUUUAUAUUGUGUUUAUCACAUGCUAUGGUGAUCAGAUUAUUGCUUCCUACUUAAUGUGCAGGAUAAUUGAACACGGUAAGGCAUUCAAAGUGAAACCUUUUAUUUUAGUACUUCCGUCUAAAUACCUUAUAUUCUGUCAUAUCAUUUACAUUCCGCUAAAAAUCUUUUUAAGUUUAUGCUUUUACAUAGCAUAGAAAUGAGAAUUUUGUUUCUGAAGUCCACAUAUCAGUGUACAUUAUUUGGCAUAUAUUCUCAUACUGACUUUUCUUAUGUUGAUGUAAAUGUUACCUGUGCAUUCAAAUUUUCUUGCAAGACAAACUGUUUAAACUUCUUGACAAUUCUGGAAAUAUGUAUAUGUCAUCAAAGGGUUUGCAAUCAAGCGAAAUCAAAUAGUGGCAGUAUUUGUGCAAGCACUCACUAACCACCACCAGUUCUGCUAUUUUGGUUAUCAUUAACUUUGUAUGCGGGAAAAUUUGAUUUUUCGAUUUCACUGAUUUCGUUCAUUAUUGUAUUAAAUUUAGCUUUUCCACUCGAAUAAAAUUGAAGAAUAUAGCCACUUCAAUGUUUCUCCAUAACAGUUUAUCUGGCAUCUCGAGUCUAUGGUAAAAAUACAUGUCACUCUUUGCGAGAGUUCUCUGUUCUGGAAUACUUCCAUACAAUUACCUUUUACUUGUUCUGGAAUACUUCCAUGCGAUUACCUUUUACUUAUCUUCUUUAGCCUCAAGUAGGGUGCUAGCACGUCGUUACAGAAAGUGUCAAAGAACCACAUGGUUGCUAGAAUGCAUUUUUUCUUUUGCCUAAACCGUUUGCUAGGGGUAUUUGUUUGUUAAUUUAGACUGUCAUGAUUUUUUUUUAUUCCCUGGUUUGUAGCUAACAUAAUCUCAGCAAUAGGACAAUUCGGGAGCACCUUUGUGAUAACAUAACCGUUUCAUUGUGUGCCACCAGGACAGAGGAGGGCGACUAAAAAUCGCCAAUGGCAUGGAGCUGCUUGCAGGAGCUGCUUGUUGUGCUCUGAUGGCUGAACAGAGUUCGGUUCUGUUUUUUUCCUUCACCAUGUCUGGAAUAGAGACACAAGGCGUUGAUGGGUUGUGCACCGAGCCUUUGUAUUGAUUAUUGAAGCAUCUGUUGACGAACUGGGAGUCUGUUCUCAAACCAAUAUGAGCUUUUUUUUGACCGGAAAAUCAAUAUGACCUUGUGCUGGGAGUCUAUUCAUUUUAUAUUUUAUAUCUCUUUGAACUAUUUGACCGGAAAAUCAAUAUGAACUUUCUGUGGCGAAAGAUACGUACUGAAA